rnacentral:piRNA from 1 species
UAGCCAUUGGUUGUUUCAUGGUUGGCCCAAU